GCCCCCGUAGCUCAGUUUGGAUAGAGCAGGUCUUUCCUAAAGACCAGGUCGCAGGUUCGAGCCCUGCCGGGGGUACCA
rnacentral:tRNA from 1 species